rnacentral:ncRNA from 1 species
CUUUGUACACGCGGGAGCUCGGAGCACCGGGCUGAGAGGGCGCUGACCUCCGUCCCAGCGAUGUUUCACAUGAAACAUCGGCAGACGGAAACUGCUGCGUCGACCGCCGAACCUGUUACCGGGUAAUGCCGGCGUAGGGAGUAGGUCUCAUGACCAU